CCUUCAGACGCUGCCAUGGCUGUGUUCUCUCUAUCAUCGAGAAGGGAAAAUCUCUCCCUUAGUUGCAAGCACAAUAGUGAAUAAACUCCACGAGAUGAUCGACACUUUUAUUGGACACCAGGCUUCGUGUUAGAUCUGCUGAUUCCUGAAGCCUCUGAUGUCCACGCCCAUCCUUGGCUUGUUCUUUAAGACUUGAACCAUCUGACCCCGGCUCUCUCC